rnacentral:rRNA from 1 species
UACGUAGGGUGCGAGCGUUAAUCGGAAUUACUGGGCGUAAAGCGUGCGCAGGCGGUCUGUUAAGACCGAUGUGAAAUCCCCGGGCUUAACCUGGGAACUGCAUUGGUGACUGGCAGGCUUUGAGUGUGGCAGAGGGAGGUAGAAUUCCACGUGUAGCAGUGAAAUGCGUAGAGAUGUGGAGGAAUACCGAUGGCGAAGGCAGCCUCCUGGGCCAACACUGACGCUCAUGCACGAAAGCGUGGUGAGCAAACAGG